AUUUUAGGUCUGUGUAAACGUGCUAAUACAUCUGACUGGAAUAUAAUAAAGUGGUUAUUUCUAUGUCUGACUGAAAGUUAUAAAGUCCUUAGAACCAGAAGCUGAAUGCAGGAAACCCAUGGUUGUCAUGGUAGCCAUGAAAUCUUUAGAUGCUUCCGAUUGACCCUUCUCACCUCUUAAUUUGGCAAAUAAUAUCUUCCCAAGAAGAUUGGUCUUACAGAGCAGUAAAAAGAGCUUUUAAAUAAAAGUUUAAUGAAACCCAGUUUCGGCAACAAUGCUGUAUUAGUUCGUUCUCACACUGCUAUGAAGAAAUACUCAAGACUGCGUAAUUUAUAAAGAAAAGUUUA
rnacentral:lncRNA from 1 species